UAAACAAGUUGCUUCCAUCAGUUACCAGAUUAACCAACUAGGAAUCAGAGACCUCCUGGGGUCAGCUGAGACAUUGGCUAAGGUUGAGCCCAUUAUGGAUGAAACUGAAGCAAUAGAAACAAAAGGGGGACGCACCAGACUGAGCAGACUGGCAAGACUUCGUGAUUGAUUGGAGUUUCUGCUGCCAGCUUUCUGCCCUGCUGGAGUUCCUGCUUUAACUUCCCUGGUGAUGAUUGGUUACCUGAAGUGUGAGUUGAAAUCAAUGCAUUCUUCCCCAAGCUGCUUUUGGUCACAUACUCAGUGAGGCCGGUCCAAGUAUCCAUCUGCAGGACUGACAGAGAUGUCGAGAGCACUGUGGAACCAAGAGCCUGCUACGACGCCUCAGGUCACAGCUGCAUCAGUGAAGACAACUUCCAGAAAAAGUAGUAAGAGCAAAGAAGAUGAGUUAUUCUUGUAUUUGUUUUUCUUUCUUGACACAGCCAUGUAUCUCCGGCUGGUCUAAAGCUCCCUCUAAAGCUAAGGAUGACUCUGCUUGCACUGUUUCUCUCUUCCAAGUGCCGGGUUAGAGGUGUGCAUCAUCAGACCAUACAAUUCAAUUGCACAUAAACGUCUUUAAUGACGGUGUAUCCCAAAUACAUUUGAAUAUCAUUAAAAACCACUUAAAAUGACAAUGUGAGCUUGUUUUAUUUGUAUACUAUGAAUCAAACACACAUUGACUAUAAGCCUCUACUAUUGUUUCUGCAAUAAUUAAGAAGAAGUGAAACAUUUCUGUUUCAAUUUUAAAAAAUCAGUAUUGAUAAAAAUAUUGUGUUUUUCUUUAUGAAAAUUAAACAUAUAAAUUUACAUUUUUUCCAAUUUCGUAAAUUAAAUCUGUGCUUGAAACCUUUUCUUCAUUUGUUCCCAAAGAGACGAUGGCAGUCACUCUCUCAUCUAUGUUAAAACCCUCUAGUCAUUUAAGGCAAAAUUCGCACCUCUGUUUAACCAGUAGGUAGACUGGAAGUCUAUAAAAACACAUUUCUAAAGUCAACUCUGAUUUUCUGACCCAGCACUAGACAAACCACGA